rnacentral:rRNA from 1 species
AUUGAACGCUGGCGGCAGGCCUAACACAUGCAAGUCGAGCGGAUGACGGGAGCUUGCUCCUUGAUUCAGCGGCGGACGGGUGAGUAAUGCCUAGGAAUCUGCCUGGUAGUGGGGGACAACGUUUCGAAAGGAACGCUAAUACCGCAUACGUCCUACGGGAGAAAGCAGGGGACCUUCGGGCCUUGCGCUAUCAGAUGAGCCUAGGUCGGAUUAGCUAGUUGGUGGGGUAAUAGCUCACCAAGGCGACGAUCCGUAACUGGUCUGAGAGGAUGAUCAGUCACACUGGAACUGAGACACGGUCCAGACUCCUACGGGAGGCAGCAGUGGGGAAUAUUGGACAAUGGGCGAAAGCCUGAUCCAGCCAUGCCGCGUGUGUGAAGAAGGUCUUCGGAUUGUAAAGCACUUUAAGUUGGGAGGAAGGGCAGUAAGCUAAUACCUUGCUGUUUUGACGUUACCGACAGAAUAAGCACCGGCUAACUCUGUGCCAGCAGCCGCAGUAAGAC